GCCUGGGUGGCUCAGUUGGUGAAGCGUCUGACUUCGGCUCAGGUCAUGAUCUCAUGGUCCGUGAGUUCGAGCCCCGCGUCAGGCU
rnacentral:tRNA from 1 species